rnacentral:rRNA from 1 species
UACGUAGGGUGCGAGCGUUGUCCGGAAUUAUUGGGCGUAAAGGGCUCGUAGGCGGUCUGUCGCGUCGGGAGUGAAAACUCAGGGCUUAACCCUGAGCCUGCUUCCGAUACGGGCAGACUAGAGGUAUGCAGGGGAGAACGGAAUUCCUGGUGUAGCGGUGGAAUGCGCAGAUAUCAGGAGGAACACCGAUGGCGAAGGCAGAUCUCUGGGCCGUAACUGACGCUGAGGAGCGAAAGCAUGGGGAGCGAACAGG